rnacentral:rRNA from 1 species
UACGGAGGAUGCAAGCGUUAUCCGGAAUGAUUGGGCGUAAAGCGUCCGCAGGUGGCUAUGUAAGUCUGCUGUUAAAGAGUGAGGCUCAACCUCAUAAGAGCAGUGGAAACUACAUGGCUAGAGUGCGUUCGGGGCAGAGGGAAUUCCUGGUGUAGCGGUGAAAUGCGUAGAGAUCAGGAAGAACACCGGUGGCGAAGGCGGGUCUCUGGACAGUUCCUGACACUGAGGCACGAAGGCCAGGGGAGCAAACGGG